AGCCCAAGCUGCAGAAAAACGAGGAAUGAAAAACUUGUUUCCUGUGUGGGAUGCAUUUUCUCUCGCAGAGCUGUGCCUUGUGCAUCUGAGGCGGGGAGAUGCUGGUAACACUGCUCUGAGGACACAGGAGCUAGGCACCUGGAAAGUAACUUGAAGGCACAGACAGGGUGCACGAGCGGACACACAGAGCCCUCUGGCUGGUCUGUCUAAACCUCAGCCUUACUUCUCUCCAACCUCGGCUAACGACCUGCGCCCCCUCGUGCUUUGGAGUGAAUAUCAGGUGUGACUAGGAUGGUAAAAAAGCUAUUAAUGGAAAUGCCAGCCACUUGAGCAGCCUGCAAGCUGGUUUUGAGACAUCACUGCAGCUGGGGAUAAUCGACAACAGAUUUGGGGAUCUAUCACUCUGACCACUGGCCACAAGACAUUUGCACGGCUCCCUGGCUCAUUCCUCAUAGAGAGGGAUUGGGGGAUUUCCACAGCAUCGUCUACAACCAAGAACCCACCUCCAAAAUGUCCACCAACUGACCUACUUAAGAUUACUGAACUCCAAAUCCUGCUGCUCACCUUUAAGGGCUUGAACUGGAGCUGAACCGACUCCUGAGCACACCAGUGAAGUGUCACCCUUCCAAUACACCUACAGAGUUCGAAGAGAGCCAACGACAUGGCCUUUUUUCUCAACAGGAGUCUCUAAACUCUCGACUUGGUCAUUUUCUGUUUUGUGGUUCCAAGACUGCGGAAUGAUAUUCCAUGUCAUACCAAAUUGUCUUUGAAUUCAAUUUUAAACUAACUGCUUUAAAGUACUGUGCUAAUUUCUGUACACCUCUUUUUACUGUAUACUGAGAUCACAUACAACCAAAGGAUCUACGUGAAUAUUUUUAAAAGAAGAAAAAAAUAACUGAGGAUGCUGCAAUGAGUGCUGCUAUUGCAAUAAAUUCACACUUUUUUCACCCCGAGGUACACGUUUUCUGCUGUGCCUCUCAUCUCUCCCAACUCUCACAAGUUCCGGCCUCACAGCAGAAGCUUCACAUUUCAGGUAAAUUUCCAGUGACAUUUCUGUUUUUCUCUUCCCUACAUUCUCAGUUCACUAAGGCUCAAAGUUGUGCAGGCUGAGACAGGUUUGUUUUGUCCAAGAUGGAAUGCUGCAGCUGGAAAACGGAGACCUGCCUAAUUGAUAUGUCUGCCUACCUGCUAAGACCGCCCUGAAAGGAAAAAAAAAAGCUCAGGA